AUUUAGAAUCAAGAUCACAAUAUGGUUGAGGAUACACAUGGGUAUAUGCAUGCGAGAGUAUUGUGUCACAAGCGAAAAUAAUACAAAUAUUUAUAUCAGUUGAGGGAAGUUACAAAGCCAAUCGGUAUAUGGAAUAUGGUCAGUUUAGAACACGUUUAGAAAUCAAAGGAUUAUAUCUAUAUACCAUUCCAUAUAAGCACUAGAUAUUAAUCAGCACAAGAAGAAAAGUCGCACAGAAACAUUAGCACGCUGAGCAUUAAGUUUUAAUAGAGGCACAGCACUUAAAACUACAACUUAAAAAACAACUUUUCAGACUGGUAAGGUACGAGAUAUGAAGAUACCCUCCAUUAAAGUGUCAACAAACUCAUCUAGACUAGUUGAGUACUAGGCUAAACAUUUAUUUGCCUUCAACUAUCAACGGUAGACAUCAUACACCCAAAAAACUUUUCUUAGAUUCUUAAACAGAAGUAGUAAACGUUAUAUAUUGGGAAAACCUUUUGGAAAUAAUUGCGUUAGAUGAACAUUUACCAGAUAUUCGUAAAUUUAGUGUUGAAAAGUAACUGUGUGAAAAUAUAUAAUAGAAAUAAAGUGAACUGGCCGCGACUGGGCCACCACACACAAGUGGAACUGAUAGAGGACAAAAUGUUACAUUAUAGGUACUGUUUACAGCCUGUCGAUUCUGUAACUCACUUUACAAAUUCUCACAGCGGAUUCCGCACUCAAAUCACUCCUGAAGGUGUCAGGUUACAAUUUGGUAUUCUGAUAAACAAUAACCGCGACAAAAGCGCCGCUCAAGUGAGAUUGUUUACAUUUGGAACUAUAAUUUAAGACUCACAUCACUUAUGCUCAAAUAGUCUUGUUAUUUCGCAUUCUGAUGACACCAUUUGACAUCUCGUGUGAAUUAAAAUCGGCAGUGAACUCGAUUUUUUACGUCAAAUUAAAAGUUGCUCUUUCCUAGGUGAAAUCAUGAUUUACAAGUGAGUUAGUCAUUUUUUAGCGAAGUUAAAGGCUGUUUUAUGUGAAAAUAUUCUAAUAUAGGACAAUCUAUAUAUAUGUGAAGGCCCGUCCACUUUAAACCUCUAUUUCAAUUAAUAAACUAUGUAAAUAAUUAAAAAAUACUUAAUACAAUAUGUAUGGCGAAGAAAAAGGCAUGAAACGACCAAUUGGUUUCUCGGCCUUGGUUACUAUCACUUUUUUCCAAUACCCAAGACAUUAUGUGGUAUUUACGAAACCUAAAACAUUUCCUAUAUGGGCUGCUGAGAUGAACGAAGAGUCUAGUAAAUAGAUAAUCUAAGAGUUCCAAUGUUCAAAAAAUCCUGGUUGAAUUUUUCUGCCUUUGAAGAAGAAUAUCACAUUUGUAUCAAUGACAAGGACCCUGGAUAUAG